ACAUUGGGACUGAGACACGGCCCAAACUCCUACGGGAGGCAGCAGUAGGGAAUCUUCCACAAUGGACGCAAGUCUGAUGGAGCAACGCCGCGUGAGUGAAGAAGGCUUUCGGGUCGUAAAACUCUGUUGUUGGAGAAGAAUGGUCGGCAGAGUAACUGUUGUCGGCGUGACGGUAUCCAACCAGAAAGCCACGGCUAACUACGUGCCAGCAGCCGCGGUAAUACGUAGGUGGCAAGCGUUAUCCGGAUUUAUUGGGCGUAAAGCGAGCGCAGGCGGUUUUUUAAGUCUGAUGUGAAAGCCCUCGGCUUAACCGAGGAAGCGCAUCGGAAACUGGGAAACUUGAGUGCAGAAGAGGACAGUGGAACUCCAUGUGUAGCGGUGAAAUGCGUAGAUAUAUGGAAGAACACCAGUGGCGAAGGCGGCUGUCUGGUCUGUAACUGACGCUGAGGCUCGAAAGCAUGGGUAGCGAACAGGAUUAGAUACCCUGGUAGUCCAUGCCGUAAACGAUGAAUGCUAGGUGUUGGAGGGUUUCCGCCCUUCAGUGCCGCAGCUAACGCAUUAAGCAUUCCGCCUGGGGAGUACGACCGCAAGGUUGAAACUCAAAGGAAUUGACGGGGGCCCGCACAAGCGGUGGAGCAUGUGGUUUAAUUCGAAGCAACGCGAAGAACCUUACCAGGUCUUGACAUCUUUUGAUCACCUGAGAGAUCAGGUUUCCCCUUCGGGGGCAAAAUGACAGGUGGUGCAUGGUUGUCGUCAGCUCGUGUCGUGAGAUGUUGGGUUAAGUCCC
rnacentral:rRNA from 1 species